UUUUCCGUGUUCGUUACAUUCAUCCAAAAUUGCGUAGAUAGUUUUGUCGCUCACUGUACCUUAAACUCGCAUCAAGAGACAGUUGUUACCAGAAGGUUUUACUUGGCUAAUGAACGCCGAGUAUAAAUAGACAGGGGCUUAAGGCAUUUCUAUGGUGUGACAGCUUGGUUAAUGACGGGGAAUCCCAACUCCUCCACCAUUGUGUUGCGUUGAUCCGUCGACCUUGUAUAAAUGCAUAAUCCGCACCUGCAGUCUGCAACAACGCUCGAGAUUCUUUAGUCUACGUCAGUCCUGCUCGUCGUCACACCAGUAACCUCCUGCUCGUCGUCACACCAGUAACCUCCUGCUGACUGAUCUUUGUUCACUGAGUGGCAAAGGCGUAGCUAACUUCAGCAUGAUGGAUAAGUCCUUCAUUCAGCUGCCGUUCCUCUUGCUGCUGCUCAUCCUGCUGACAUCACCCAGCGCUGACGCUUCUCCCGUUAACGCUGGGGUCUUUGGCCCCUCACGCUCAAACGGCGAUUGUUUGGGUUGCGUACGACCACCCCCACCACCCCCCACAAUCAUCGAUCCGCCGUGUUUCAGAUGUCCCGCCGGCACCUAUCUUGUAUCACGAAGACCUUGCAAGUGUUCAGAUAAGUGGGACCCUGCUGUUGCUCGGCCUACUCCUGCCUCCGUGCUUUUUGGCUAACAUCACUCACUACGCAUCACAUCCUCACUUCUCAUUCUUUUAUUAAUUUCUUGGCAUGUUAUUAUUUAUUUUGAGAAAUUGAAUCAUUUUUAUAGAGGAUGUGCGCUUCCAGGGAAUGACAACACCGGUAGGUGCUACAAUUACUGUUAUAUGUUUUGGAUAAAAAAGAUUCGAGAAGGGAAUGGUGAAGGAAUGAUCAUAUGGGGCUCACUGCACGUUGUAUGAAGGCGAGUCUUGGUGCGUCUUAAUAUCACAAAACAAUGAUAAAUAACAUUAAAAAAACAGCCAGUAAACUUAAGGGUCACGAACGACGUCACCUGAGAUUUAGGUCUUUUUUGGGGGGAGGGGGGUUCUCUCAGUUAGAACAGCGCCCAUUUAAAACUUAAUCUUGACCCAUACUUUCGUCAGGGAUGGCCAACAGUCUCUUAAAUUUCCCUGCGUCUUACUCAACAACAAAUAAAUAUAAAUAAAUAUGCAACGAUUCAGAAUUCAUCCAUCUGGGUAAGAGAACCCUCAAUCGAAUGAGUUUGCUAAAAGUAAAAAUAUAGUUUCAGAUGUUAUAUAUAAUUUUUUAUAAUAAAACUGUAAAUGUCUUGCAAAAAUUGUUAAAAGUGAAGCAAUAA